rnacentral:rRNA from 1 species
AUAUCAAUAAGCGGAGGAAAAGAAACCAACAGGGAUUGCCCCAGUAACGGCGAGUGAAGCGGCAACAGCUCAAAUUUGAAAUCUGGCCCCCCCUCGGGGGUCCGAGUUGUAAUUUGUAGAGGAUGCUUCGGGCGAGGCCGCGGUCUAAUGCGCUUGGAACAGCGAGUCAGAGAGGGUGAGAGUCCCGUCUAGGGCCGGGGACCGCGCCCGUGUGAAGCUCCUUCGACGAGUCGAGUUGUUUGGGAAUGCAGCUCUAAAUGGGUGGUAAAUUUCAUCUAAAGCUAAAUACUGGCCAGAGACCGAUAGCGCACAAGUAGAGUGAUCGAAAGAUGAAAAGCACUUUGAAAAGAGAGUUAAACAGUAUGUGAAAUUGUUGAAAGGGAAGCGCUUGCGACCAGACUUGGGGGUGGUGGUUCCCCCGGUCUUCUGACCGGGCUACUCCGCCACGUCCAGGCCAGCAUCGGUUCAGGUGGUCGGUAAAAGACCCCGGGAAUGUAUCUACCUCCGGGUCGACUUAUAGCCCGGGGUGUCAUGCGGCCCACCUGGACCGAGGAACGCGCUCCGGCUCGGAUGCUGGCGUAAUGGUCGUAAGCGGCCCGUCUUGAAACACGGACCAAGGAGUCUAACAUCUAUGCGAGUGUUUGGGUGCCUAAACCCCUACGCGAAAUGAAAGUGAAGGGAGGUAAGAGCCCCCCACCCCGGGGGGCGCAUUAUCGACCGAUCCUGAUGUCUUCGGAUGGAUUUGAGUAAGAGCAUGGCUGUUGGGACCCGAAAGAUGGUGAACUAUGCCUGAAUAGGGUGAAGCCAGAGGAAACUCUGGUGGAGGCUCGCAGCGGUUCUGACGUGCAAAUCGAUCGUCAAAUUUGGGCAUAGGGGCGAAAGACUAAUCGAACCAUCUGGUAGCUGGUUCCUGCCGAAGUUUCCCUCAGGAUAGCAGUAACGUUUUCAGUUUUAUGAGGUAAAGCGAAUGAUUAGAGGCCUUGGGGCUGAAACAGCCUUAACCUAUUCUCAAACUUUAAAUAUGUAAGAAGUCCUUGUUACUUGGCUGAACGUGGACAUUUGAAUGUAUCGUUACUAGUGGGCCAUUUUUGGUAAGCAGAACNGGCGAUGCGGGAUGAACCGAACGCGAGGUUAAGGUGCCGGAAUGCACGCUCAUCAGACACCACAAAAGGUGUCAAUGCAUCCAGACAGCCGGACGGUGGCCAUGGAAGUCGGAAUCCGCUUAGGAGUGUGUGAUCCCGCGGCUUCCCGGGUUGCUGUUGCACACGAGGAACCCCGCCCCAGGGGGGUUAGUUGACCGGUGACACGGUUCAGCGAUGGCUCUAUUGCACCGGGAGUCUCUUCAUCGGGAUGACCGGUCGUAGGCCCGUUCCGCGGGUCUAUCUACAGACUAGAGAGAGCCGAUCGGAGCCCGCGGGCUCCGGUUAAGACAUAGUCGAUCCGGGCCUCCCUGCGAGGCCCGUCGGGCGAGAACAACUCACCGGCCGAAUGCAUUGGCCCUGAAAAUGGAUGGCGCUUAAGCGUGCUACCUAUACCUCGC